CCAUCAGCUAAGGUCCCAAAGUGUAAGUUAAGUGGGAAAGGAUGUGGGAUUUCUAAGACAACUAGGAUGUUGGCUUAGAAGCAGCCACUCAUUUAAAGAGUGCGUAAUAGCUCACUAGUCGAGAGAUCCUGCGCCGAAGAUGUAACGGGGCUCAAACUUACCACCGAAGCUAUGGAUGUGUACUAUGUACACGUGGUAGAGGAGCUUUCUGUACAGGUUGAAGUCAUACCGUAAGGAGUGGUGGACAGUACAGAAGUGAGAAUGCUGGCAUAAGUAGCGAAAAACAAGUGAGAAUCUUGUUGACCGAAUAUCUAAGGUUUCCUGGGAAAGGCUCGUCCUCCCAGGGUUAGUCGGGACCUAAGCCGAGGCCGAAAGGCGUAGGUGAUGGACAACUGGGUGAUAUUCCAGUACCACCAUAAUGCGUUUGACAAAUGGGAUGACGCAGGAGGAUAGGAUGUGCGCACUAUUGGAUGUGCGUCUAAGCACUUAGGGUGUUAAGUAGGCAAAUCCGCUUAACAUUAAGCCUGAGGUGUGAUGGGGAGCCUAUUUUGGCGAAGUAUCUGAUUCCACGCUGCCAAGAAAAGUCUCUAUGGAGCAAAAUGGUGCCCGUACCGCAAACCGACACAGGUAGAUGAGGAGAGAAUCCUAAGG
rnacentral:rRNA from 1 species